UAGAGUCUCCCAGUGAGAGGGGCUGGGGUGUGAGACUCAGUGUUAAAGCACCUUCCUGUAGUCCCCCCGUGAGGGGCUGGAGUAGGCUCAGCUGUAGAGUACUUACCUAGAAUUCACUAGGCCAGGUCCAUCCUCAGUACUACAGAACUUGGCUUUGGGGAGAAGGGAAAACCCCCAAAGCCCUAUGGAGGAGCCCUUGGAGCCCUGGGAUACCAAGGUGGGGGCUGCUUUGGGAAAUCUUGUGGCCGGAAGAGGAAGUGAUCUUCUGGAGACCCCUGACUCGCG